GCCCCAGUAGAUCAAGGUGGAUCAUCCCUCUCCAAUAACGUGAUCAGGAAAGGUACAGGGAAACUGGAGGUUCGAAUCCUCCCUGCGGCA